AUCCUCACUUUGGCAGCACAUACACUAAAACUGGAAAAAUACAGAGAAGACUAACAUGGCCCCUGCACAAGGAUGACACACAAAUUCGAGUAACUUAUUUUCUUCUC